rnacentral:tRNA from 1 species
GGGGAUGUAGCUCAAUGGGAGAGCAUUCGCCUAACAUGCAUAAAGCCCUGGAUUCAAUCCUUAGUAUCACUA